UGCUGAGGACUUACGACACCGUUUGCGUCAGUGUCAUAUCUUAUUACCUCAUUAUAAUAUUUUGUCAGAUUUACGCCCGAAACGGACCCGUGGGCUGGCUUGUGGGCGUGUUUGGAGAUAAUUCGCGAAGCAGCAAGAGCAAACUUGGUAAGUGAGAGGUCCUGGGAAAUUUAAGUUACGGUACAUAAUUAUCAAAAAGGAACUCUAUUCCUGGGUCUUGUUGGGAACUUGAGGACCGUCGCUCAUUUUGUUUUGCUAGUCUUCCAAACGGAGGGAAUUGCCGUCAGAUCCUAACUAGGAUUGAGUAUUGCUCAUAGAACAUCUUGUGGAAAUGGAAGCUGAAGAAUCGUCAUCAUUGCUGCUACUCAAAGAAGAGGAGGGUCCAACUGAAAACGCAGAUGACAACUCUUCGUUUGCAGACCCAUUCUUAGAAGUCAAGGCAGAACCGGAAUUUUUUGACUAUGGUGAUUUUGAUGUGAACUGUUCUUCCCUAUCUAUUAUUAAGUGUGAAAAGGAGAGCUCUCCAAGCUAUGAUGAUGAGAGUGGAAAGAAAAAGAUCUGUAUUGGAGGGGAAAAUAGACAUUUUGGUAGAAGCAACGCAGCAGGGAAACUAUUUACUUGUGCUGAAUGCCAAAAGACGUUUUCACGAAUUGACAGGCUGAAAU